rnacentral:tRNA from 1 species
GGGAAGGUGGCUCAGUGGUAGAGCACUUGCCUUGCAUGCUCGAGGCCCUGGGUUCGAUUCCUCA